CCUGAAUUUUAAAUGUUGUUUCUCAAGCAUGAAUUUAGCCAGGUCUUUCUAGAAGUGGUCUGAUUGAGGAGGGGAAGACUAGCUGUUAUUGGCAGAAAGAUUUGGGAACUCUGGGUGUAUUAACACAUUUAUUGCAUGGUGAUGUCACCAGGCAGGCCAAAACACCAUCCCACCAAAACAGGCUGAAAUUUCAGGUUGUCUUUUCAAACCGCACUUACACUUAUUAUCGUCAUUUUCAUAAUGUCACCGUAUUUUUCCAACCUCAUAGUGUGGAAAUAUACAUAAAACACAGGCAAAUCUCAUUUUGGACUGCGCUGGGCCUUUAAAACAUGUUGUUGUCACUCUAACUCACGCUGAAACCGGUCUUCAUAUCUCUUCUUCUCUCCUCACCUAGCGGACCUGGACAAGAUGUCUAGUCUGGAGAGGAUCUCCUUCCUCCAGGAGAAGCUGCAGGACAUCAGGAACCACUACCUGUCCCUCAAGUCUGAGGUAGCCUCCAUCGACCGACGACGCAAACGCAUCAAGAAGAAGGAGAGAGAGAGUAUGGUGGCAGCGUCUUCCUCCUCUUCCUCGUCCCCGUCCUCCAGCUCUCUAACAGCAGCAGUGAUGUUGACGCUAGCCGACACUCCUGUGUCGUCCUCUUCCUCCUCUCAGAACUCUGUGGUGUCUGUAGAGUGUAGGUGACAGGACAACCCCUCACCCCUCCCAACCUUCUGAGUCCUAGGACAACCCCUCUCCCCUCCCAACCUUCUGAGGCCCAGGACACAGCACUGAGCACUUAACCAGCACCACCCUGGUCCCCAUCCCAAAAUACCCCCAACACCCAUCAAAGCCCCAUCCCUACCACUAACGCCUCCACUCCAAAGCCUCAGUACAUCCCCACCUCAAACCGGAGAGCACCCAGGCAUCAAUGCCCCCACUUAAACCUCCACUCUUAUCCAUGCCUCUCCACCCCAGAGCCCCUUUCCAACAGUAUGGCCCCAUCACCCCUACUUCCAACUCCCUCCCAGCAGGACAGACAACACAAUCUCUAUACUGGAACAACCACAGGGAUACAGCAACACAGACAACCAGACCAACAAGACAAAACAAACACUAUUUUCUAUCCACAGCUGUUUCCUUGGCAAGCUAAUUGCACUUAAGUGCACUUUUAUGAAGAUUUUGAGGGGGAAGAAUACAACGACCAACCAAAAAAAAAAGUACAAAAGUAUGUUUUUCUUUCAAUUGAUUGAUAAACAUUUCUUAGCGUUGUUUUCUUCAAGCAAUAGUGAUUCUUUCCAUCUCGAGGUAGUUUAGAUUGGGUUGAACGACGGUGUGUACUGUGUCAUCAAGGUCCUUGUCCUAUGUAGCCCUGUGUAUACACAAGGCUCAAAGUCACAUGAUGAUGUACAUACUAAAACGUACGCUUGUAGUGUGUGUACUGUUGGAACACAUGCAUUUCUCUCUGUGUCCGUCUUCACUUCUUAAAGCUACCACGCCUUCGAAUGGUACUCUUAUCUUGACCCGUGACCGUGGUCUGUAAGCGCUGUGUGGAGGAGAGAGAGGCUUCGUAUGUCGGUCUACUGUAGAGAUCCAGAGAAGUGAAGCCAUGAAGCUGAUGAACAUGAGACUACUGUUAGGGCCUUGUUAUUGUGUCUAACCCCAAGACACCUCUUAAGAGGGAACAUUCCCCCUCCUGU
rnacentral:lncRNA from 13 species